rnacentral:rRNA from 1 species
UACGUAGGGUGCAAGCGUUAAUCGGAAUUACUGGGCGUAAAGCGUGCGCAGGCGGUUUUGUAAGUCUGUCGUGAAAGCCCCGGGCUCAACCUGGGAAUUGCGAUGGAGACUGCAAGGCUUGAAUCUGGCAGAGGGGGGGUAGAAUUCCACGUGUAGCAGUGAAAUGCGUAGAGAUGCGGAGGAACACCGAUGGCGAAGGCAG